AUCGAACGCUGGCGGCAGGCCUAACACAUGCAAGUCGAACGAGUGGCGGACGGGUGAGUAAUGUCUGGGAACCUGCCUGCUGGAGGGGGAUAACUACUGGAAACGGUAGCUAAUCCCGCAUACCAUCGGAUGUGCCCAGAUGGGAUUAGCUAGUAGGUGGGGUGACGGUGCACCUCGGCGACGAUCCUUAGCUGGUCUGAGAGGAUGACAAGACACACUGGAACUGAGACACGGUCCAGACGCCUACGGGAGGCAGCAGUGGGGAAUAUUGCGCAAGGGUGGCAAGCCUGAUGCAGCCAUGCCGCGUGUAUGAAGAAGGCCUGCGGGUUGUAAAGUACUUUCAGCGAGGAGGCGUUACUCGCAGAAGAAGCACCGGCUAACUCCGUGCCAGCAGCCGCGGUAAUUC
rnacentral:rRNA from 1 species